rnacentral:rRNA from 1 species
UACAGGGGGUGCAACGUUGCUCGGAAUCAUUGGGCGUAAAGCGCACGUAGGCGGUUCGUUAUGUCGGAUGUGAAGCCCUUGGCUUAACCGAGGAAGUGCAUCCGAAACUGGCGAGCUAGAGUACUAAAGAGGAUCGCGGAAUUCCCGGUGUAGAGGUGAAAUUCGUAGAUAUCGGGAGGAACACCGGUGGCGAAGGCGGCGAUCUGGGUAGAUACGUGACGCUGAGGUGCGAAAGCGUGGGAGCAACAGG